AUGGACGGGCAGGGGAAGGAGGGCGGCGGGGGAGCGGGGAGCGAGUGCGACGUGGUUGGCAGGGCCUUCGUGGAGUACUACUACCAGACGUUCGACGGCAACCGCGGCGCGCUCGCCGCGCUCUACGGCGGCACCUCCGUCCUGUCCUUCGAGGGCCACCGCGUGGCCGGCGCCGCGGAGAUCGGCCUGAAGCUGGCCCAGCUGCCCUUCGAGCAAUGCCGGCACUCCAUCUGCACCAUCGACUGCCAGCCCACGCCCUCCUUCCCCGGCGCCAUCCUCGUGUUCGUCAGCGGCAACCUCCAGCUCGCCGGCGAGGAGCACCAGCUCAGGUUCAGCCAGAUGUUUCAGCUGGUGCCCAACGAGCAGGGAAGCUUCUUCGUGCAGAAUGACAUAUUCCGGCUCAACUACGGAUGA
rnacentral:rRNA from 1 species